UUCCAGACUCCUACGGGAGGCAGCAGUGGGGAAUAUUGCGCAAUGGGCGAAAGCCUGACGCAGCGACGCCGCGUGAGGGAUGAAGGUCUUCGGAUCGUAAACCUCUGUCAGCAGGGAAGAACGGUCACUGUGCUAAUCAGCAGUGAAUUGACGGUACCUGCAAAGGAAGCACCGGCUAACUCCGUGCCAGCAGCCGCGGUAAUACGGAGGGUGCGAGCGUUAUCCGGAUUUACUGGGUGUAAAGGGAGCGUAGACGGAUGGAUAAGUCUGAAGUGAAAGCCCGCGGCUCAACUGCGGGACUGCUUUGGAAACUGUGCAUCUUGAGUACGGGAGGGGCAGGCGGAAUCCCUGGUGUAGCGGUGAAAUGCGUAGAUAUCAGGAGGAACACCGGCGGCGAAGGCGGCCUGCUGGACCGAAACUGACGUUGAGGCUCGAAAGCGUGGGGAGCGAACAGGAUUAGAUACCCCGGUACCG
rnacentral:rRNA from 1 species